AAAAUGCUACUUCCUGAAAGAUUUGAACAAAAGAGAUGUGAGUUUAUUAAUGAAUAAUAAUUAUUGCACAACACACGCAUUCACACAAUUGUAUAAAUAUAUCAACCUAGUCAUCCGACUAGGUAUAUGCUCACACAGCCAGUCACACAAAUGGCAUAUCACCAGCACUCACAAUUAUUAACAUCUUCAUAUAAUCACAUCACGUGGAAAUUAGUCAGUGGAGUCACCGAACCCCCGAUGAGCCGUCCUCCCACAUGGCUCAUCCUCUCACAUGUGCACCAGGGAGCCGAUCCCCCAUACUGGCCGACCGGUCUAAUCCUCACUUGACCAGCCCUCUCAUUAUUUUUCCAUUCUCUCUUUUCUUUUCCAUACCAACAGAAGGCAACCCGGUG
rnacentral:lncRNA from 1 species